UAUUGGUCUAUAGAAACCAGACUAUAACUAAACUAUUAUAUAGGUCUGUAGAAACCAGACUAUAACUAAACUAUUAUAUAGGUCUAUAGAAACCAGGCUAUAACUAAACUAUAGGUCUAUAGAAACCAGACAAUAACUAAACUAUUGUAUAGGUCUAUAGAAACCAGACUAUAACUAAACUAUUAUAUAGGUCUAUAGAAACCAGACUAACUAAACUAUUAUAUAGGUCUAUAGAAACCAGACUAUAACUAAACUAUUAUAUAGGUCUAUAGAAACCAGGCUAUAACUAAACUAUAGGUCUAUAGAAACCAGACAAUAACUAAACUAUUGUAUAGGUCUAUAGAAACCAGACUAUAACUAAACUAUUAUAUAGGUCUAUAGAAACCAGACUAUAA